GUGGUUGUAGUUCAGCUGGUUAGAACGCCUGAUUGUGGUUCAGGAGGUCGCGGGUUCGAAUCCCGUUUUCCACCCA
rnacentral:tRNA from 1 species